rnacentral:misc_RNA from 2 species
CUGAGUGAGGGUUCUCUCUAUGAGCCCAACCUCCCACCCGUGUUUACCUGUACCUAGUUGCUUCGGCGAGCCCACUGGGGAUAUCGUCCCUGGUCGCUUGGGAAGGAGGAAGCUCCAGCCCGGGCCUGUUGCUCGCCGGAGGUCUGAACUACGAAUCCUGAUAUCGAAUCGAAUUGAGUCUGAGUUAAUGAUGUAAAUCGUUA